rnacentral:lncRNA from 1 species
UAUGAAUCCAACUUCAAACUUAAAUUAUCGUACAGAUUAUGUUGACCAAAAUUAAAUCUAAUAAAUGACGGCGGUGAUUAAUUUUUGUUUCCAUAACACAUAAAUAUAACAGAAAAGACGUCAACACAUUUGACAAAAUCCAAUGAGAAUUACAAAUAUAACAUUAAACAUUUAAACUAAAUACAUGAGUUUGGGAUAGACAAGUACCGUCACACGUCUUAUAGUAAUGCGAAUUCACACUCAGCAAAACAGUCACAAUCGGGAAUAAGUCCCGUUUGGUAAUCAAAAGAUUAGACGACAUAAUGACAAACUACAAUCUACCAUGUGGUAAAAAUGUCCUUAGCUAGUUUGGUUAAACACACAUCGUAUGGAUCCACCAAUUCGUGAUGGUGUCCAUAAAAUUUACGGAGCGUCAAUUUUAAUCUGUCCUCCUCAUAACUUUGUUGGAGAAGUUUCUGCGUAAGUAGCACACUCCUGUAUAUGAAGUCC